AUGGUCAGAAAUUAUUAUUGGGGAGCGAAACAUGGAAAAAGGAAGACCCAUUGAGUUGCCUGGAGCAAAAUGACGAGGCCAAAGAAACAAGGUGGGCUUGGGUUUAAAGACUUUCGUCUUUUUAACCAAAUAUUGUUGGCACAGCAAGCUUGGCAGAUAUUAGAGUACCCUAAUAGUCUUUGUGCAAGGCUUCUAAAGGCAAAGUAUUUUCCUAAUGGACAGCUUCUUGACACGGUGUUCACUGGAAACCCAUCUCCCACACGGCAAGCUAUUGUUCAUGGUUUAGAACUUCUCAAGAAAGGUAUUGUCUGAAGAAUUGGUAAUGGACAGAAUGUCCGCAUUUGGCGUGAUCGAUGGAUAGUUCGCAAACCUUGA
rnacentral:rRNA from 1 species